GGCUUAACACAUGCAAGUCGAGCGGGGGAAGGUAGCUUGCUACCGGACCUAGCGGCGGACGGGUGAGUAAUGCUUAGGAAUCUGCCUAUUAGUGGGGGACAACAUCUCGAAAGGGAUGCUAAUACCGCAUACGUCCUACGGGAGAAAGCAGGGGAUCUUCGGACCUUGCGCUAAUAGAUGAGCCUAAGUCGGAUUAGCUAGUUGGUGGGGUAAAGGCCUACCAAGGCGACGAUCUGUAGCGGGUCUGAGAGGAUGAUCCGCCACACUGGGACUGAGACACGGCCCAGACUCCUACGGGAGGCAGCAGUGGGGAAUAUUGGACAAUGGGGGGAACCCUGAUCCAGCCAUGCCGCGUGUGUGAAGAAGGCCUUAUGGUUGUAAAGCACUUUAAGCGAGGAGGAGGCUACUCUAGUUAAUACCUAGGGAUAGUGGACGUUACUCGCAGAAUAAGCACCGGCUAACUCUGUGCCAGCAGCCGCGGUAAUACAGAGGGUGCGAGCGUUAAUCGGAUUUACUGGGCGUAAAGCGUGCGUAGGCGGCUUAUUAAGUCGGAUGUGAAAUCCCCGAGCUUAACUUGGGAAUUGCAUUCGAUACUGGUGAGCUAGAGUAUGGGAGAGGAUGGUAGAAUUCCAGGUGUAGCGGUGAAAUGCGUAGAGAUCUGGAGGAAUACCGAUGGCGAAGGCAGCCAUCUGGCCUAAUACUGACGCUGAGGUACGAAAGCAUGGGGAGCAAACAGGAUUAGAUACCCUGGUAGUCCAUGCCGUAAACGAUGUCUACUAGCCGUUGGGGCCUUUGAGGCUUUAGUGGCGCAGCUAACGCGAUAAGUAGACCGCCUGGGGAGUACGGUCGCAAGACUAAAACUCAAAUGAAUUGACGG
rnacentral:rRNA from 1 species